AUUGAACGCUGGCGGCAGGCCUAACACAUGCAAGUCGAACGAGUGGCGGACGGGUGAGUAAUGUCUGGGAAACUGCCUGAUGGAGGGGGAUAACUACUGGAAACGGUAGCUAAUACCGCAUACCAUCAGAUGUGCCCAGAUGGGAUUAGCUAGUUGGUGGGGUAACGGCUCACCAAGGCGACGAUCCCUAGCUGGUCUGAGAGGAUGACCAGCCACACUGGGACUGAGACACGGUCCAGAGUCCUACGGGAGGCAGAAGUGGGGAAUAUUGCACAAUGGGCGCAAGCCUGAUGCAGCCAUACCGCGUGUAUGACGAAGGCCUUCGGGUUGUAAAGUACUUUCAGCGGAGAAGCGUUACCGGCAGAAGAAGCACCGGCUAACUCCGUGCCAGCAGCCGCGGUAAUAC
rnacentral:rRNA from 1 species